UACGUAGGGUCCAAGCGUUAUUCGGAAUGACUGGGCGUAAAGGGCGUGUAGGUGGCUCGAGAAGUCUUGCGUUAAAUCAAUCGGCUCAACCGAUUGCCUGCGUGGGAAACCAUCGAGCUUGAGUCUUGCAGGGGCUAGCGGAAUUCCCGGUGUAGCAGUGAAAUGCGUUGAUAUCGGGAAGAACACCAAUGGCGAAGGCAGCUAGCUAGGCAAGUUCUGACACUGAGGCGCGAAAGCGUGGGGAGCGAACAGG
rnacentral:rRNA from 1 species